rnacentral:lncRNA from 1 species
GCCUCAUUUAGAACUGCAUAGAUACUUGUGUCUAAAAAAUAACAAUGUUGUGUCGAGCGGACGUUACGUAUUAAAAAAAGAAAAGGAGUAUAUGUAUAGAGUUGUAUAAAACCAAUGUUAGUAGACCCCUCGCCAACACUGCAGAUUUAUUAAGUAACUCUUCCUAGUAAUGUCAUUGGGAUCCUUAUCUUGGGUAAAUGUAGUACAUAAAAAGUAAAAAAUGUAAUUUAUAAGUUAUGAUAGAAGCGGUUGCUGGACUUUACAUGCAUUUAACCAUAUCCAUUCUCCUAAUGAUGAAUUCAUUAGUCAAUAAAUAACUUCCUAAUAAAUCCUUAAUUUCUUAUUCUACAUAAUUAUCUUCUGAUAUACUAUUAAUAAGUGAUAUUAUAUUACUUUACACAUACAUAACUAUUGUUUAUAUAUAUUAUUUUUUUCCCCUGCGAAUUGACCGAAGCACUGAAUGACACUUUCCGUAAGGAUUAUAUUGGCAUAUUCUAUUGAACCUGAUCGUAACUCAAAUCCAGAAUGGAAUUUAUUUAAUAUUUCAUGGUCCUAUUUUAAAGUUAUAUUCGUUUUGUGAGAAUUCUAAUGCAAAAUAUCUUCUUUCUCAGAUUCACAACAAUCUUUGAAUUCAGACGUAAAUUAAAAUAUAUAAAUUUCCUUCCUUUAAUUUGGCUUUCCAUUCUCUGUUAUGAAUUAAAAUAAUUGGUUUCUUUGAUUCGAAGCAUUGUGGCUUUAUAUGAAGAUACAAAUAGUAUCUUUGUUGGAUGAUCUUAUUCUAAGUAUGUAAUAGGAAAAUUAGCUUUUAGAUUUAGAUAUAAUAACGUGCAUAUUUCUUGUAUUGUAUCUUAAAACUAAUAAUGGCUAAUUACUGUCAAACUUUGCAUAUUUAAAUAAUUUUGUUUUUCUUUAUAAGAGCUUUAUGUGUUGAGUCAAUGCAGACUACUUUACCAAAGAAAUGUAAUCUAAUUUUCACGCAUUCCUUAAAAUUAAUUAUAAUUUUAAUUAAGUUUCAUGUGAUGUCCUAAAAUUAUUCAUCCAUGUAGUAGAAAACAGUUUUUCAGUUAGCUCUAGGACAUGAAGUUGGUUAAUAAUUUAUGGACUAUCAAAGUCAUUUGCAAUAGAUAUCUUCAAGUAUCACAAGAUGUUCUCUUAUUAAAUAGUAAUUCACAUUUUUCUUGAAUAAAUUAAUUUUAUGUUAUCUUUAAUACUAGCAAAUGGCUACCCAGAGUUGCUCGGGGCAUCAAAGAGCUUUGGCCCACGGACGUUUUCUUCCUGGGGAUAAUAGUAGAAAAACUAUAACUCGACUGAAAAACACACAGGACUAAAGUUGAAUUUAUCUGUGACUUUAUCGUGGUUUGCCGGAAAUUAUACAAUAUUUAAUCUUGGCUCCAUAAAUGGGUGUUUCGUUGUUGUUGUUUUUUGAAAAAGAGAAAGAUCCAGAGAAGCUAUUUGCUAAUUCAUGAAAUUAGCCUCAACGCAUCUUAUUAUACUAAUAAGGAGGGAGCGAGAAAUAACAUUGGUAAUGGGUGAAUCCCAUUUAUUUUAUUGUUUAGACCCCGUUGGUGUGGGCGAGCGUUAGGAUAUUAUUACAACCAUUAUAAUAUAGCGCCUGUAUAUUAUAUGACAUACAUAAUAAUAUUUUUUUUUUUGUUAUAAACUUCAAAUAACAUAUAUGCAUGGAAAAAUUUGUCUAGAUGAGAAAUCCAUCUUUUAUUUUUGUCCAAAAACUUACCAAAUUGGAAUUUAGUGAAGAAAAUUGCAAAUAUAUGUUUUAAAUUAAAAUUGAAAAGAAACAGUUUAUAGUAUUCAUUGGAAUUGUUAGGAAGAACACAAAACUACCAAGAAAAACCCAAAAAAUGUAUCGUUUUGUGGCAUUUCUUAUCAAAAGUUGAAAAUUGACGUUCGAUGAGAAAAUAGGAGCUUAGAUUCCAAGCCUUUGAUUGACAUGCUGUAAAGAAAAAUUCUGUAUAUGUCGCGAUGGAGGCAAGAAAACCACCAUAGGCAAUUUAAUCCGCGCUGCGAGGACCACACGGACAUCAUGAAGGCCUUAUACGUCAGGAAGGCCACUUUCUGUCGGAUCAGAAAUCGUUUGGCUGAUAGGGACAACCUUAAGAACAACCCCAAGAGUUGAAAACCCAAUCUUAGUCUCAGUAAUUUUUCUACACCCGGUAUAUAUACUCUCUCUUUUAAAUAUGACGCGCACGUUUGAUGCAACCAAGUGAUUUCUUUAAAAAUGUCUUUAUGGCAUUCAUCGAUCCACACAAACUUUGCUUUAGUAAUGCAUAUAGAUAUGAGUAUUUGUUUUAUUUAAUUUAAAUUUUUAUUUGAUUUUUUAUUUCAUUAUUUUGAUAUAAUUCAUUUGUUGCUAUAAAAUAACUUUCAUUAUUUGCUCUUCUAAAUUUUCUUCCUGAAUUAUUUUAUUAAAGCUCAACUCCUCUAUAAGAGCAACAAAAAAUUAUUGCAUUCUUUUUUUCGAUCCAGUAACUUUUCUGGAUAUAAAAUUACAGAAUUUAUAACUACCAAAGAAUGCAUCUUAUAAAAUACAGUCCCUGACCAACGUCUGGAACUAACUUUUGUGGUAUAUAACCGUGAGGUCAUCACAUAGCAAUAUUAAACCUCUAUGUAUAUUAUAUUAGAAAUUACUUGUGUAUAGAAUAUAUUUGUAUUAGUAUCAAUAGAAUCGUCUAUUAGCAUAAACGUCGUAAGUUGAUAUUUCUACAUGGCGCAGACAUAUAUAUAUCGUGCUAAAAAGGAGACGUGCUGGAAAUGCAAAAAGAAGGACCAUUUAGAGAAAAUAUGCUUACAUAAUGCAAAAUCUCCAGUGUAGGGCAAGACCAAGCCAAUCAAAACAUCGACGAUCCGAGUGAAAACUUUAUCCAUCGAUAAUGUCACUCCAUAUCUCGAGACUGAAGUUUAUCCAAGGUCAUGUCAACCUUUUACAAUGAAAGCUCUGCCUGAUACAGGCAGAUCCACUGAGUCUCUUAUUUCUCACGACUUGGUAUUGGAGUGCAACAUCGAAAUAGACUCAACUAAAAGACUCUCCAUCACAGUAGCGAACAAAUCAAACUUGAGACGCAAGGGCGCCGUCUGUCUUCUUAUCAAAAUUGGAGAAUUCUCCAAAACAGAGUUUUUCAGGAUCCAAAA